UACGGAGGGUGCAAACGUUGCUCGGAAUCAUUGGGCGUAAAGCGCACGUAGGCGGUCCGGAAAGUCGGGUGUGAAAUCCCUCGGCUCAACCGAGGAAGUGCAUUCGAAACUUCCGGACUUGAAUAUGGAAGAGGGUCGCGGAAUUCCCGGUGUAGAGGUGAAAUUCGUAGAUAUCGGGGGGAACACCAGUGGCGAAGGCGGCGACCUGGGCCAAUAUUGACGCUGAGGUGCGAAAGCGUGGGGAGCAAACAGG
rnacentral:rRNA from 1 species